UUCCGUUAAUUUUUCCUCUUUGUUCAUUUUAUUGAUUCGGUUGUAAUUAUUUUUUAUUUUUGGUGACUAUCUGUUCUUAUUAUUUAUUUAUAUAGAAGAGCCAAAUGUGGUCGACCAAGGACAAAUUUGACAUUUUGCUCAACUAUAAAAAUAUUUUCCUAUACUUAUUCUUUCAAUACUCACUCGACACUUCUCUCAACACAAUUCUAGAACAUUCAGUUCUUUUAUCUCUUUUGUUUCAACUUCCAACAAUGGAAAAACAUCACAUUUUCAAGAACAACUUUUUGAGUUUUAUCUUAAUUUUGCCCAAAUUUCUUCCGGUUCUCUUCAGACCUCUGAAUUUCACAUCUGAAAUUCAUGGCUUGAUGUCCUUCUUAUUCUGUCCCCAAUUUCACGACUGAUGUAAAGAUUUUUCGGUUGUAAUUCCCAAUUUCACGGCUGAUCUAAAGGCUUUUCAUGUGCCCCUCCCUCGGUUAGCUUCACCCUUUUAGCCGCUUAAAGUGUUGGGAAGAGAUUCGUUCUCGAAAAAGACUGUCCUAUUCAAGGCCUUGAGUUUUCACAAGUCUUGCUUUAGUUAUUUGCUUGCUGAGAUGACCAAGAAGGUAACGUUGAUGAUCCUGACUCAGAGAGAAUGACUAUUUAUGAUAAAUGGAUAAUUUCCAGUAGAAGUAUCAAAAGAGGUGUGAUAUCUCCUUCAACAGUGCAUUACUAAAGGUGCUUUUGUAACACUUUAUUUUGUGUAUCUGAAAUUUGUUUUACACGAUCUUUGCUUGGAUUAAGACUUUGAUUGACUUUUCUAUUGUAGAAAAUACCUCAUAGAGAUUCUAUAGAUGCUAAGAUUAGGUAGGCGUAGUUAGGUUACUCAACUAGAGCUAGCUACAUCAGACUUCACAAAUGCCUAAGUAUCUAAUCAUCUCAGUUUUAUACCACAUUUAUUGUAUUGUGCCAACUUUUAUUGUGAUAAGGAGGAAUAAUUUCUUAAGAAGUGUGCAACUUUUUAGUUUCUAACGAGAUAACAUGUAUGUGUAGUUUUUAAGGAAUUUAUAGUGCUGCUACACUACACUUCGUUUUAUUUUUUAGAGAAAGUUUAGCGCAUUUGGUAGUUUAGAGUUAUAAUAAUCAUGUGAUUGAUUUCUAAUAUUCUGGUUUUUUUUUUUUGAUGAAGUAAUGAGUUAUAUAGAAUUUCUAAUAUUCUGGCUUGGAUUACCUCUUUUUGAUAAUUACACCUUCGAGAAUAAAUUUGCAAGAAAAUAUUUUCUUCUUUUUUGCAUUCCAUAUUUCAAAGACGAGUAUAUAUAAAUACUGUACUUCAAAAUAAUUAGUUAGUAAUAAGGUAGUUCUAUAGUAGGAGGCUAAUGAACUGAAGUAUUGACAAGAAUAUUAUAUAAAUAUGGCAUGUAUAGCUGAGAAACCAUUCCUUUAUGUAUAUUCUGGAAUGUUUGGCUCAAGAGGAACAUAAUGUAUUUUGAGGGGAAGGAAGAGAAUAUUUUGUUGCUGAAGAAUAGAUGCAUCCAUAGUUUAAAAUUUUGGUGUAAUGCUGAUACUUCUAACGAUUUUAAUGUAAUGUUGGAGUUUCUAGAUUCCUUACAGCUUUAGAAGGACCCAAUCUAGCGCGAUACUUUGGAGAAAAUAUUCAUAAGUUCACGUCUUUGGGGUGAAUCGAUGAAUACAAUAACACGAAAGGACAAAAUUACUAAUUGAAAGUCUGAAUUGAGCGCACCUGAAGAAGCUCCUCAAUGACAUCUUCCAUAGUAAUAACACCGACAACUUCUUGAUUGAGAGGGAUCUCAGGGAUUGGAUUAUUUUCCAAAUCCAAGAGAAAGAGAGAGAGAGAGAUUCCAUAGGAUUAUAUAUAAAUACAUCUGGGUGCUAAAACUUUUAUUCUUUUAUGAAAACAUGUUGUUCAUGUGGGAAAUUGUGAAAACACUUUUGAGAGAUGAGUUCCUUUUGGAUCUAACAUUCUAUCUUCUUUUUUCCUGAAAAUGAUUGAUUUGAAUCAUAUCUUCAAGGUAUUAUUCUAUGGCUUUGAUUAUUAAUUAAUAUUGUCAUAUUAGAUAUUCAGCCAUUGCUUGUCACUUAUCAAAGGCGCGCUUAAGCCCUGAAGCGAGGCUCAAAACAUAUUGAGCGCUUCGCCUCGCUUAGAAGGCACUUUAGUGUUACCAUCAAGGCUCUAAGACAUACUUUUCCUUGUCAAUGAGCGUAAUCCUGAAGAGAGACACUAAGCGAUUUUCUUCAAUUUCUUUGUCCAUAUUUGGUAUUCAUGCUUAUAGAUAUUAGUCUUGUACUACACAUACAUAUUUGUUAUUUUAUCCAUUAGCGGCUUUUUUCAUUAAAGCCCACGCUUUAUUUGUGCUUUGCGCAUAAAGCCCCAACAGACCUUAGAGCUUUUUUUGCACUUUUCGCCUUUGAUACUGAGAGUAUUUCAACAAUAAUAGCCUUACUUUUAUAAAUAUAUAUGGCCUGCGAAUAGAGCUGUCUUUUGUGGACCAUCUCCUAUCUCUUUGGAAAAAUCUUCCUCAAAUAAUAUGUUGUCUACAUUUGAAGGAUUCUUAUUAGGGGUUGUAAAUUUCAUACGCCUCCAAUAUGAUUUGGUAGUUUUGUGGCCUUACAAUGGUAGUGGCUUCAAAGCAUUAAGCUUUCUCUUCCUUUUGGGUUUCACAAGAUCAACUGGAGAUAUAGUGUAUGUUAAUCUACCUUUUUUUAUUAAUGUGAUAACAGAUAGCUGCCAAAGUUCCUCUCUUCGCUGUUAAUUCUUUAUGCUUUGAUGUACUUCUUCUGUUUCUUGUGGUAAAGUUCCUUUAUUUGCUACUUUAUCUUUAUAUCACCAGAAUUAGCGUGAGAUCCUUCUUUAUUUGUGUACUCUCUCCUGACAAAAAUGCUUGAAAUGUUACCUUAGAAAAAGUCUAAUGAACCAUCAUUUGCUGAUCUAAAAAGGUUAGAUCAUGGUUACUCAAUCUAGAAAUGCUAAGAUGUUUAUCUAAAAUUGGUGUAAAAUUCUUGUGUCCUUGUUGUCGGCAUAAAAUAUGAUUUUCCUCGAUAUUAGUUCUUGAAUAUUGUUUACUUGAAGAGAUCUCCUUUUAUAUUACAGAUACCUCAUGCAUGUUCUUAAAUUGAAGUAGAUGAAUAACGUCAUGCAAGUAUUCUAAGGCCUGUUAAAUAAACUCAUUAGCCAAUUCAUAUUGUUUGUUGUUGCAUUUUGGAGUAAAUAUAGUCAACUAUAAAAUCAAAAUAUAUCAUUAUUCUCUGUUGUUACUACCACAGUGUGUUCAAUUUUUUUUUGUUCGAAAGUUGCUAUGAACUGUGGACAGAACAAAUGAAUAGACGUUUUACUUCGUAGAAUAUUGAUGCCUUUCCUCAAGAUACUUCGCAUCUCCAAGAUAAAUAUAUGUCUCUUUGAUUCUGGUUCUAUUCGUUGCAAUUACUGACAAAAUUUUCCCAUUUUUAUAUCGUUUGACAGUGGCAGAUAGUGAUGAAUCAUGGGGAUAACGCGACAUGCCAAACUAGCAGUUUGUCAAGGCUUUCAGUAUGAGGGGAAUUUGCUGAGUAUAUUGCCCUUUUUUUUUGCUAUCCAAUUCUUAAUAAUAGGAUCUAAUUAUUUGUAAUAUUAAAGCUUAUAAUGCAAAAAUUAGCGGUUACACUCAACUGUAUUUUAUGCAAUUGCAGUAUUAGCAUACUUUAUAUCUUAA